UUUUUCUUUUUUUUUUUUGCAAUGGAAUUAAAUUCUGUCACUUUUUUCAGCAGUGGUGCCAGCGAGACCAGCCACUGAAAUAAGCAGAGUCAAUCGCCAUUGAGUUAACGAGACUUGAGAGGGGCCAAAAAAACCGGCUUGCCAAUGUGCCUGUGGAUUCCACCUUAGAGUCACUCCAAUGAAUGGGGCACGGCAUUUCCAAAAUGCUCCUGUCACAAAUGCUAAGGCAGACCUAGCACAGUGCUCAGGCCAUCACAGUCACUCAAUGUUUAUUGAAUGAAUAAAAGAAUGAUUGUUGCCUGUGAAGGAUAAUAAGUUGUAAUUAUAUUGGUUAGAUUCUAUUCCAAAAAUAUGUAAGUAUCUGGAACAUAUUAACUCAUUUGCUCUCACUAUCUGUGGUUAUGAAAUAGGUUCUCAGAUUGGCCCUUUGCCAACAAGCUCAAGCCAGCUCUUAAAGAAAUGGAACACUGGAAAGGAAAGCGUGGGACGGAGGCAUGGAGAUAUGAAAGGAGCGACUGGGAAGAUCCUGAGGUUUGGCAGAGAAAGAAGCAACUUGAUAGGUUAGUUCAUAUCCUUGGCUUCCAGCACACUGUGGAAACCCGUACCAUUCUCCCAGAGGCCUAGAGGAAGCAUUUUACCAUCCAAAGGAACUACUGAUUAGUGGUUAAGCACACAAAUUCAGGAGUUCAAAUUCCUACUCUCCUCCUUCCUAGAUGUAUGACUCAGUGCAAAGUAUUUAACUUCUGUCUGCCUUAGAUAUUGUUGCCCUGAAAUGAGCAUCAGAAUAACUCUCUCCUUGGGCCUUGUGAGGAAUAAGAUAAUACACAUAAAGCCCCCAGAAGAGUGCUGGCCUGGCCUAGGAAGCACGCAGUUGAUGCUAAUUUUUAUUCUUAUCAUUAAUAUCUCCACCUUAUACUAUCUCUAAGUAAGACAGUAGGGGUGGGCAAUUUAUCUCAUACCAUCACAACUUCUACAAAUACAUGAUAGAGAAGUUGGCUAACUGCCUCAACAGCGGUUGCCUCCUGUUAGUAUAUGUAUCUCUGCAUGAAGGAGAUAGAUAUGUGUAUUUCACAUUUAUGCUCCUGCUAUGGGUAAAUUACUGGACCUUUCCUUGCCUCAGAUGAUGAACAGAAAAAUUAGAUAAUAAUAGUGUGUGCCUCAUUGUAUUGCUGAAGAAGAGAGUUAUAAGAUUUAGGCCAGGGGCAGUGGCUCACAACCUGUAAUCCCAGCACUUUGGGAGGCUGAGGCAGGUGGAUCGCUUGAGCUCAGGAGUUCGAGAUCAGCCUGGGCAACAUGAUGAAACCCC
rnacentral:lncRNA from 1 species